AUUGAACGCUGGCGGCAGGCCUAACACAUGCAAGUCGAACGGUAACAGGAAGAAGCUUGCUUCUUUGCUGACGAGUGGCGGACGGGUGAGUAAUGUCUGGGAAACUGCCUGAUGGAGGGGGAUAACUACUGGAAACGGUAGCUAAUACCGCAUAACGUCGCAAGACCAAAGAGGGGGACCUUCGGGCCUCUUGCCAUCGGAUGUGCCCAGAUGGGAUUAGCUAGUAGGUGGGGUAACGGCUCACCUAGGCGACGAUCCCUAGCUGGUCUGAGAGGAUGACCAGCCACACUGGAACUGAGACACGGUCCAGACUCCUACGGGAGGCAGCAGUGGGGAAUAUUGCACAAUGGGCGCAAGCCUGAUGCAGCCAUGCCGCGUGUAUGAAGAAGGCCUUCGGGUUGUAAAGUACUAUCAGCGGGGAGGAAGGGAGUAAAGUUAAUACCUUUGCUCAUUGACGUUACCCGCAGAAGAAGCACCGGCCAACUCCGUG
rnacentral:rRNA from 1 species